UAACUAGACCUAAUUUGGCUUGAGGGUC
rnacentral:sRNA from 1 species